rnacentral:lncRNA from 1 species
GGAGGCCACUUUGCUGCCUUGUCUUGAAGGGUAGCAUGUUUGCAAUUGAUUUGUCUACCAUCCCAUUCCUGCCUGUAGGAUCUUGCAACGAUGCCACCUCCAUUUCCUCCCAUCCGAACCCGUCAGAACCAGUUGGCAGUGUUGCUCCUGGCACAGCCGUUUCAUAGACCUGUGGGUCUCCCUUCAAUGUCACAGGGAACCAGGCCACUAGACAGGAGGGCUCACUGUGUCUUUUUUGGAUCAUCUCUAUUCCUGGCUCUGCUGAAAUGGUUGACCAGACCCAUGAAUCACAGUCUUCAUCUCUUCAGCAGAAAUCUAUCCAGUCACACCCCUGGCUUUCUCUCCAGGGCACCCUGUCCUGACAGCAAAUCUCCCAAUGUGAGCAUCUUCCACAUUGAGUAGGCUGUGAAUUUCCUAGAUCACCAGUGCUGGUUCCUUUUUCCUUAACAGUUUCUUCCUCAUUUCAUCGCCUUUUUCCUGCCCUUUAAUAUAAGCUGCCAAAACCACAGCCUGAUUUGAAAUCUCUUCAACUAAAUAUCCAUGUUCAUUGCUUACAUGUUCUACGUGUUCUUCCAUGUUCUAGUGGAUAGAGCACAACUCAGCCAGCUUUUGCCGCUGUAUGAAAGGAUCACCUGUCUUCCAGUGCCCAAGAUUAUAUUCCUCAUUUUCUUCUAAGGCCUCACCAGCAACAUCUUUAACUUCCAUAUUCUGUUCUUUUUGGGAUGGGGUCUCUUGCUGUGUUGGCCAGGCUGGCCUUAAAACUCCUGGACACAAGCAGUCUUCCUGUCUCAGCCUUCCCAGUAGCUGGGACUACAGGCGUAAGCCCUGAUACCUGCUUUCUACACUCCAAAUUUUGCCAACAGUUUGGCCAGGCCAUCUGUGCUUUUUCUAUCAUGUGCCUCAAAAUUCUUCAGCCUCUGCUCAUUUCCCAGUUCCAAAGCCAUGUCCACAUUUCUAGGUAUUUGUCACGGUAGCACUCUGUUCCUGGUACUGAUGUCUGUAACAGAUUACCAAAACGAGAUGGUCUAAUAUACAGAAAUUUAUCCUUUCACUGAUCUGGGUGUCCGAGGUCCCAAAUCCAGGAGCCAGCAGGGUUCCCUCCCACCAGAAGUCAUGGGAAGAGCCUGCUUUGCUCCUCCAGCUUCCCCAUCCCUUGGCUCUAUCGACAUCAUUCCAGUUUCUGUCUCUACCUCUCCUUUUCCGUUUCAUGAGGACUUGAAAGGGCCUACCCAGGAAGUCCAGGAUGACCUGUCUCUAGAUUUUUAGCUUAAAUAUUUCAAAAUUCAGUCACAUUUAUAAAUUCCAAGGACAUGAACAGAUUUUUUGGGCGUCACCAUUUAACACCUGCACCAGGUUGAACAUGCUUGAACAUGGAGGAGCUGGGGCUCCUUCAGGUGAGAAAGGUGGUAGCCAGGCCAAACCCGGUAGUAGAGACAGUGGGAAAAGGGCGAGCUUGAGAUAUUUGGGAACCACGGGACCUCUCUCAACCCAUGAUGGGUCUUGUGGUUGGGAUCCAGAACAUCCCUCAAGAUGAGUUUCUGGCGGACUUCUGGUUUUGGUGAUAUUCUAGUACUGGGCUGUAGGGGCAGAAAGGUG